AAAAUAUAAUAAAAAAAAAUUAGGAUCAAAGUAUAUGUCUAUUAUUAUAAAUAAAAUUUUAGAUUUUGAUAAAAAUUCUAAUUUAAAAACAUUAAUCUAUACAAGAACUACUCAAUCAAAUUAUAUCUAUUAUUAUUUUUGGUAGAAGUUAAUCUUUCUAAAAUUUAAUGUAACUUUGAACAAAACUUAAAACUUAUUUUAUUUAAAACAGUUAAUAAUAGCCAUAAAUUAAAUAUAAAAUUUUAAAAGCCACAAAAAUUGUAAAACUUCUUGAUGGAUUUGGCUAAUCAAGUAUAGUAGCAUAUAUCCAAAU
rnacentral:lncRNA from 1 species